UUGACGGGUUACGUCAAUCAUCUUGCAAAAUGUAAACAAUGAAAGAAUCCCGGAAUAUUCACCAUUAAAAUUAAUGAUAUUCCCCUAAAAUUACAUAAAAUAAUUGGAAAAACCUAAAGAUAUAAUUCACGAAGUAUCGUAAUGUGAUCGCAGACAUAAUAAGCAAGUCAGAAUGAUCGGACGUGGAAAGCUAAUUGCUGGCAUUGGAAUAUAGUAUGCAGAAAAAGGAAGGAAGACAUCAUACAAUCUAAACCCCUGAAGAUAUGAAGCUGAAAUUUUCAACAUCAAUUAAAUGCAACAGGUUUAAGUUUGAGAUAAAAUAAAAUUUUAUAAAAUCAACCCUUAAGGGGGGGAAAUAGGGGGGAGAAAGUUUGUGUGGCAGAAAAAUAAAAUCAACAAAUUUGUACCAAAAACAAGCAAAAACGCAUGGAAAAAAUAUUAAAACAUUAUAUUUAAACUUUUAAAAUGCCAAAUUCAGUGUUUUUGUAAACAUUUUUAAUCUUUGACUUUGGACAUAGUUCCAUUUGUAUGGAAAUCGUUACUACCGCGCGCUAUAUUUUUUUUUUUUAUUACGAUAAAAUGUAUGAAUGCCUACUAUAAAGUGAUAUUUUUCAGAAUAAAGCAUACAUGGGCUACAUCGUCCAAUUGCUUAUUUAGUGCAAAUCGCCACACUGUGAUUGUAACAUCCAAUAUUGUCACAAAAAAUUACAUAACAUUUUCAUUUUUUGUACAAAAACCAUUUUUUUGUAUGAGAAGGUAUAGUAAUUAUUUCAAAAAUGAAUUCCUCGUCCCUUAAUUAUACGAAAAUGAUAUAUAACCUGCCCUAGUUGCUAAGACUAGGAUGGAAUAAUAGCAUAGAUUGGACAUGGGGAGCCGACCCUUUCACCCCCCCCCCCUUUUUAGGGGGUCUGCAUUGUACGAUCUCCUGGCUACCGGGCCAGAUUAACUUUGUUUGACCUAAGGAACAAUCGUGCCAAGCGGCAUCGCCUGAGACUAAAGUGCAUGCACUUCCAUACAUUUUUCUUACUUACUAACCCUACUAAUACGAGUACUAGCCAUAAUGUUACAUACGCCCCAUGUAUCAGAGUAAAAAUCGCCGUGCUUUUUUUUAAUGAAAAGUACUAAUACAGUGAAAAUAACAAAAAUAUUAUGUAUAUGUUUAAACUUCUAGUUCUUUUGACCCAAAUAAAAAGUAGAACUCAAAAAUAUGAUGUAAGCUACCUAUUUGAUAUUUUUCAGUAAUGUUAGAUAUAAUAUAUUAUGUAUGAAAGACCAAGUUUUGACCGCUCAGUCUAAUUUUUAAGGCUUUGUUUGGGUAAAAAAAUUGUAGUUAGUAAUCCUCCUAGCCUCAGAACAUUGCUGCUUUUAUGUCUAACUAGGCUUAUUUAGCUUCCGCUCCGCCCGAUUUAUUAAAUAUGUCGGGUUACGUUAAUGUUAACACAUGCAAGCCAAACAAAAAAUGAAUAAAAGGAGCAAAUUAAACGAAAAUUAACAUUUGGGUCGUGGCAAUUAUACAAAACUUACCACGCUGUGCAUUAAUUUAAUAGACCCUUGACGUCACGCGACGAAGGUGUAAAAUGCCAAGGAAUAAGUGGGACAUGUUUGUGACGUGAAAAAUAACUACCGCACUAAAUGGAAAUCUUACACUAUUAAAAGUAAAAAAAUAUUUUUCCACUUGAACCAUAAAUAAACCAUACAUAAUAAAUUUGCAACUUGCAACUUUGUCCGCAUAGAAAUAGAAGUCAUUUUUAAAGUGGUUUUUAAUCCCGCCCAUAUCCGACCGAAUUGGUGUACCUAUAGUUUUCACAAGUUUGCGGUAAGGUUUUCUCCAGUCCAAAAUUCUAAGUAAGUGUAUAU